rnacentral:lncRNA from 1 species
UUUAUAACAAGUUAAAAAUACACGUAGGACACAACAAAUAAAGGGGCACGCGUGCCAUGAAAGCAAGAACAAAGGCACCCAAAUCACAUUAUAGGAAAAAAGGCACAUAGGCCACAAAUAUAGACAAAAAAAAUAUAUAAAAAAGCACUACUACAAAGUUCAUACAUGAGAUCAAGCUAACAAUCAAACAUCUUCUUCAAUAACCACUCAACUACUCAGUCAUUCAACCAUCUCCCCUUCUAAAUAAGCUUCCUCAGACUUAGUAGGAUCACACACAAGAUUCACAAUUUGACCACUCUUAAUCACUAAGUCAGAGUUUUUACCACUAAAAUCCAAUUUUGGAUGCAAGGUUCGAACCUGUCAAAUUAAUCCACAUUUUCGUUCUCUAAUUUAGGAAUAGAAAUAUUGGAAGCAUCCAAAUCAACUUUCGAAGACGUCAUGAGCCUUGAUGGCCUCCAUUUUAGCGACUUACUCAGCAGAUCUUUUGACAAAGGAAUCAUUCAAUGAAGCAUCAAUUCUACAAAAAAAUUCUCCAAGUUCUUCACUACAUUCUCACAUUCACGAUUCUUCUCUUCAUUGUUCUUCCGCAAUUUUUAGUUUCAUGGGCAAGACCUAACAUACAACAACCCAUAUGCUUCCAUAGCUUUGAGUGAUUGGUAGUGACCUAAACAAUGAACCUUAUCCUCAUCACUAGUGCAAGUAAGUUGACCUGUUACUUCACAGAAAAUAAACUCUCUUUCUAUAGAGAACAAAUAGUUUAUCCCUUCCCUUUCUCAAAUUCCAAGACAGAGCACCAUAGGGGGAAUCAUCAAGAGUUGCACAACAAAUAAAUGGAAAAUAAGUUAUUAUUAAGGUGAGAUUCAAAAUAAAUUUGAAGUUAGGAGCAGUACCAAGAAGUACAAAAAAAGGGGUAAACAAGACAUACGAAGAAGAUAGACAAGUUCAUCUUUUUAUGCCCUACAUUCAGUAAAUCAGAUGCACUAAUGUGGCUCACUAUACUCAAGAUAACAAGGUUAGUCAUCUCCUCCUCUAAGGGGGACAAUUGGGAGAUACCUAUUUCGGAAAUCGUGAUUUUGGUAAAGUGAGAGGAAAAAGAUCUUGACCGUUAACAUCAUAAAAAAUAUGUGUCUAAGUCGAGCGUGAGUGGACAUGAUAAAACUCAAUCUUAAAUUGUUUCCAUGAUCGAAUAAAAGUUCCAAUGAGGUGAUGGAGAGGGAAGUUGCUCACAAAAAGCCAAGUCAUAAAUGUGUUAUUCUUGACUUGGAAGAAAUGCAAUAACUUGCAAAUGGAAGGUUACACAUGCAAAUCUCUGCAUAGAAUUUCAAAGGCUUUCACAAAAGCCCACAUGUUUGGGUGGAGUUGUGAUGAGGCGACAUUAAGGGUACAUAAGAGCUCACAUUGAAAGGAUGAUAAGGGAAGACAUAUUUUGAGCUUAUCGAGAGCCUUGAAUCCUUCAUUAGGUUGUUGCGCACACACCAUUUUGUCAAUAUUGCAUGACAAGAUCUCAAAGCAAUUUUUGCGAGUCAAAUGCUUGUAACAAAGCUGAAAAAAAUUAAAGUUAAGAUAAUAUUAUUUGCGAUGAAGAACAUCUUUAACUACCCACUAAAAACUAUCAUGUGUUCGAGGAGGAAUGGAGAGUGCAUAUGGACCAGGUGAGACAUCUUCUUCAUUGGAGUAUCGACCUCUACUCAUAACAAUCAUUCAAAUAACACAACUUAAAUCAUGAGGAAACAAUUAAGUAGAGAAAGGAAAAGAACACGUGAAUGAGCAUUAAAAGGGGGAUAUUGCGACCAUAUGCAGUAGGGGAGUAAUCGCACAACCAUGUGCCGUGGAGGAGUGAUUGCACGACCAUGUGCAAAAGAAAUGAUCAUGCUAUCACGAACAAUAGAAGGUUAAUCGUGCAACCAUGUGAAUAUGAAGAGGGAUGCUCAACCAUUAUGUAUGCGCUAAUGCAUAACCAAGCCAAGGCGCGCAGAUGGGUGAUCAAGCGUAGGUGUGCGGAUGGAAGAUUUGAAGACUUGUGGACUCGUCCACUCAAUCAAAACUGGAAGAUAUGAAGACUUAUGGACUCACUCAUUUAAUCAAAGCUGGAAGAGUCGAAGACUUGUGGACUCCUCCACUCAGUCACACUUGAAGAUGUAAAAAGUCCAAGAGCAGAAAACUUGUGGACUCCUUCACUCAAUCACACUUGAAGAUUUGAAGAUCCAAUAACAGAAGACUUAUGGACUCCCACACUCAAUCAUACUUGAUGAUUUGAAGGUCCAAGAGCACAAGACUUGUAGACUCCUCCACUCGGUCACACUUGAAGUUGUGAAGAGUCCAAGAGCAUAAGACUUGUGGACUCCUUCACUUGGUCAUACUUAAUGUGAAGAAUCAAGAAGGCAUAUUUGAGCAGCAAGAAAAACUAUGCGACCUAAAGGACUUGCCACUUUGUGGACUAUGGACUGAAUGAAGUAUCCAAGACAAAUAGGACAAACACUAGCCUAAAAUGAAAGUGUUUGGAUAUGGCUCACUGGACUCUUGAAGAACGCAGUUCAUUACAUAGAAUGAUGUGACACUCAACUCAAACAGUUCAUCUCUGUACGAAUGACAGGAUGACAUGAUUGUGCACCCAUGUAGAUGACUAGAUGGAACGUAUGUGCACCUUGUUAACCCUAAGGCAUGGUAGCACACGUAUGUGCAUCCGUACAAAUGACCAAGUGGUGCGUCCAUGCUCCCAGUCAUCCUUGAAGCAAAUGGAACAUCACUAGCUAUAACUAGAGGCUGGACUAAAUGAGUCUAGACAAGGGAGACCAAUUUUCCAAAGAAUAUCUACCUAUAAAAAUGGAAGAGACAAUUAAAGUUAAAGAUCUUUGAAUAUAUUUGUGAAUAAUGUAUUAUUCUUCUAGAUAGCAUCAUGAAAAUACUUUUGUA